AUUGAACGCUGGCGGCAGGCCUAACACAUGCAAGUCGAGCGAGCGGCGGACGGGUGAGUAAUGUCUGGGAAACUGCCUGAUGGAGGGGGAUAACUACUGGAAACGGUAGCUAAUACCGCAUACCAUCAGAUGGGCCCAGAUGGGAUUAGCGAGUGGGCGGGGGAACGGCUCACCUAGGCGACGAUCCCUAGCUGGUCUGAGAGGAUGACCAGCCACCCUGGAACUGAGACACGGUCCAGACUCCUACGUGAGGAAGCAGUGGGGAAUCUUGCACAAUGGGCGCAAGCCUGAUCCAGCCAUGCCGCGUGUCUGAAGAAGGCCUUCGGGUUGUAAAGCACUUUCGUCAGGGAAGCGUUACCCGAAGAAGAAGCACCGGCUAACUCCGUGCCAGCAGCCGCGGUAAUAC
rnacentral:rRNA from 1 species